GAUGAACGCUAGCGGCAGGCCUAACACAUGCAAGUCGAGGGGCAUCAUGGCGUAGCAAUACGCUGAUGGCGACCGGCGCACGGGUGCGUAACGCGUAUGGAACCUACCCACCGCAGGGGGAUAACCCGCCGAAAGGCGGACUAAUACCCCAUGGUUCCCCGACCCUGCCUGGGUUGGGGGUAAAGCCUACGGGCGGCGGUGGAUGGCCCUGCGUGCCAUUAGCUGGCUGGUGGGGUAACGGCCCACCAGGGCGACGAUGGCUAGGGGGUCUGAGAGGACGAUCCCCCACACUGGGACUGAGACACGGCCCAGACUCCUACGGGAGGCAGCAGUGGGGAAUAUUGCACAAUGGGCGAAAGCCUGAUGCAGCGACGCCGCGUGAGGGAUGACGGCCUUCGGGUUGUAAACCUCUUUCAGCAGGGAAGAAGCGAAAGUGACGGUACCUGCAGAAGAAGCACCGGCUAACUACGUG
rnacentral:rRNA from 1 species